AGGCCUGGCACGGCAUAGCACACUGGUAGAAGUUCUGUGGGUUCCGGAGGGGAUUGAGGACAAGUGCGGCAUCAGACAGGCAGCAGGCGCCCGCCCACCUCGCACUAUCUGCAGCGCACUAUGCACUAGGAGCCGGCGGCACCACCAGGAACAGUGCCUCCCCGCCAGCAGCAGACGCCCGCCCCACACCAGCUGCUGUGCACUAUGGAGCCGCCGGCAGCAGCAGCAGCAUCUCCCCGCUAGCAGAAGCGCUAACCCUGGCGGCACCGUGAGCCGGAAGAUGGUGGCAGCAGCGGGGAACAGUACAGCAUCCUGGCCAGCGGUUACAAAGGCACGGACCAGCCCCACUCAGUAGAGAUAAGCCACAGCCAGGCGUAUCAUCAGUUUGCUUGACGUUCUACCAGAGCUCAAGGAUCUUUUUAGCAAAACUACUGAGGUGGUCCAAAAAUGAUAGGAGCAUGGACAGUGUACACAUCCAGCUGACUCUGCUGUCUCAGGAACUGGAUGACUGCAUACACCAAACGCUUGAUGGAUGACAUACCUCAGCUGACCGGCAAGACCUCAAUCACUGCAACAAGGACAGAAAUAAGAUGUUCCGUACCAAACAUUAUGGUAACACAAGGAAUUCUGGUGUACUAUAAAUCAGGCAGUUUAUAUGCCACUGGUUGGGGCAAAUGUAAAAUAAAAUCACAGAAGCCAUCUUGGUAA